rnacentral:rRNA from 1 species
GAUGAACGCUGGCGGCGUGCCUAAUACAUGCAAGUCGAGCGAACAGACGAGGAGCUUGCUCCUCUGACGUUAGCGGCGGACGGGUGAGUAACACGUGGAUAACCUACCUAUAAGACUGGGAUAACUUCGGGAAACCGGAGCUAAUACCGGAUAACAUGUUGAACCGCAUGGUUCAACGGUGAAAGACGAUCUUGCUGUCGCUUAUAGAUGGAUCCGCGCCGCAUUAGCUAGUUGGUAAGGUAACGGCUUACCAAGGCAACGAUGCGUAGCCGACCUGAGAGGGUGAUCGGCCACACUGGAACUGAGACACGGUCCAGACUCCUACGGGAGGCAGCAGUAGGGAAUCUUCCGCAAUGGGCGAAAGCCUGACGGAGCAACGCCGCGUGAGUGAAGAAGGUCUUCGGAUCGUAAAACUCUGUUAUUAGGGAAGAACAAAUGUGUAAGUAACUAUGCACGUCUUGACGGUACCUAAUCAGAAAGCCACGGCUAACUACGUG